UUUAAUAGUCGAACAGACUAGCUUUCACAGCGGCUACACUAAGCAGCACCUUUAAUUCAACAUCGAGGUCACAAGAUCUUUUAUCAAUUAGGCCUCUCUAAAAGCAUUGUGCUGUUAUCCCUGAGGUAACUACUCUUUAACUUGCUAAAGAUCNUAGUGGCACCUAUGAUAUCGAGCUACAAAUUAGAUUUAUUAAUUUACCGCCCCAGUUUGACACAACAGCAACAGUAGCUCAAAUUGAUUGGGCUGAGGUUCUAGCUCUAAGUCAGCUCUGCAGGGUCUUAUCUUCCCAUUGGUUGAGCUUGAAGUUUUGAUCAAAGCCUUAAGUUGUAGCUUUACGGGUUUACAAGUCGUCUUUCAUGAACCCCUUCAUUCAAGACCCCAAUUAAGAGCCAAAUUAUUAUGCUACCUUUGCACAGUUAAGG
rnacentral:rRNA from 1 species